AGAGUUUGAUCCUGGCUCAGGAUGAACGCUGGCGGCGUGCCUAAUACAUGCAAGUCGAGCGAACAGAUAAGGAGCUUGCUCCUUUGACGUUAGCGGCGGACGGGUGAGUAACACGUGGGUAACCUACCUAUAAGACUGGAAUAACUCCGGGAAACCGGGGCUAAUGCCGGAUAACAUUUAGAACCGCAUGGUUCUAAAGUGAAAGAUGGUUUUGCUAUCACUUAUAGAUGGACCCGCGCCGUAUUAGCUAGUUGGUAAGGUAAUGGCUUACCAAGGCAACGAUACGUAGCCGACCUGAGAGGGUGAUCGGCCACACUGGAACUGAGACACGGUCCAGACUCCUACGGGAGGCAGCAGUAGGGAAUCUUCCGCAAUGGGCGAAAGCCUGACGGAGCAACGCCGCGUGAGUGAUGAAGGGUUUCGGCUCGUAAAACUCUGUUAUUAGGGAAGAACAAACGUGUAAGUAACUGUGCACGUCUUGACGGUACCUAAUCAGAAAGCCACGGCUAACUACGUGCAGCCGCGGUAAUACGUAGGUGGCAAGCGUUAUCCGGAAUUAUUGGGCGUAAAGCGCGCGUAGGCGGUUUCUUAAGUCUGAUGUGAAAGCCCACGGCUCAACCGUGGAGGGUCAUUGGAAACUGGGAGACUUGAGUGCAGAAGAGGAAAGUGGAAUUCCAUGUGUAGCGGUGAAAUGCGCAGAGAUAUGGAGGAACACCAGUGGCGAGGCGACUUUCUGGUCUGUAACUGACGCUGAUGUGCGAAAGCGUGGGGAUCAAACAGGAUUAGAUACCGGUAGUCCACGCCGUAAACGAUGAGUGCUAAGUGUUAGGGGGUUUCCGCCCCUUAGUGCUGCAGCUAAUUAUGAUUUGGGCUACACACGUGCUACAAUGGACAAUACAAAGGGCAGCUAAACCGCGAGGUCAUGCAAAUCCCAUAAAGUUGUUCUCAGUUCGGAUUGUAGUCUGCAACUCGACUACAUGAAGCUGGAAUCGCUAAUCGUAGAUCAGCAUGCUACGGUGAAUACGUUCCCGGGUCUUGUACACACCGCCCGUCACACCACGAGAGUUUGUAACACCCGAAGCCGGUGGAGUAACCAUUUAUGGAGCUAGCCGUCGAAGGUGGGACAAAUGAUUGGGGU
rnacentral:rRNA from 1 species